UUGCCUCGGAUCAGGCGG
rnacentral:rRNA from 1 species